rnacentral:rRNA from 1 species
AUUGAACGCUGGCGGAAUGCUUUACACAUGCAAGUCGAACGGUAGAGGGGGCAACCCCUCGAGAGUGGCGAACGGGUGAGUAAUAUAUCGGAACGUGCCCAGUCGUGGGGGAUAACGUAGCGAAAGUUACGCUAAUACCGCAUACGAUCUAAGGAUGAAAGCGGGGGAUCGCAAGACCUCGCGCGAUUGGAGCGGCCGAUAUCAGAUUAUGUAGUUGGUGGGGUAAAGGCUCACCAAGCCAACGAUCUGUAGCUGGUCUGAGAGGACGACCAGCCACACUGGAACGGAGGCACGGUCCAGACUACUACGGGAGGCAGCAGUGGGGAAUUUUGGACAAUGGACGCAAGUCUGAUCCAGCCAUUCCGCGUGCAGGAUGAAGGCCCUCGGGUUGUAAACUGCUUUUGUACGGAACGAAAAGGUCUCUCUUAAUACGGGGGGCUCAUGACGGUACCGUAAGAAUAAGCACCGGCUAACUACGUGCCAGCCGCCGCAGUAA